rnacentral:rRNA from 1 species
AGUGAACGCUGGCGGUAGGCCUAACACAUGCAAGUCGAACGGCAGCACAGUAAGAGCUUGCUCUUACGGGUGGCGAGUGGCGGACGGGUGAGGAAUACAUCGGAAUCUACUUUUUCGUGGGGGUUAACGUAGGGAAACUUACGCUAAUACCGCAUACGACCUACGGGUGAAAGCAGGGGAUCUUCGGACCUUGCGCGAUUGAAUGAGCCGAUGUCGGAUUAGCUAGUUGGCGGGGUAAAGGCCCACUAAGGCGACGAUCCGUAGCUGGUCUGAGAGGAUGAUCAGCCACACUGGAACUGAGACACGGUCCAGACUCCUACGGGAGGCAGCAGUGGGGAAUAUUGGACAAUGGGCGCAAGCCUGAUCCAGCCAUACCGCGUGGGUGAAGAAGGCCUUCGGGUUGUAAAGCCCUUUUGUUGGGAAAGAAAAGCAGCAGGUUAAUACCCCGCUGUUCUGACGGUACCCAAAGAAUAAGCACCGGCUAACUUCGUG